rnacentral:lncRNA from 1 species
ACUUAUGCCCUUCUAACUUCUGUUUUGCUGUGGAUAUUUCUUGUAAGCUUCUCUUCAACCUCAACCAAGGUAUGUCUCUUUCAUUUUUUUUACUUGUUUUCUCUUUUUCAAGAUCCAACCACACUACACUAGGGGUGUUCAAAUCCAGACCGGUCCAAUAAUAAAACCGAAAACCGAUCCAAAAUAGACCGAAACCGCA